UACGAAGGGUGCAAGCGUUACUCGGAAUUACUGGGCGUAAAGCGUGCGUAGGUGGUUCGUUAAGUCCGACGUGAAAUCCCAAGGCUUAACCUUGGAACUGCGUCGGAUACUGGAUGGCUUGAAUUCGGGAGAGGGAUGCAGAAUUCCAGGUGUAGCGGUGAAAUGCGUAGAUAUCUGGAGGAAUACCGGUGGCGAAGGCGGCAUCCUGGACCGACAUUGACGCUGAGGAGCGAAAGCUAGGGGAGCAAACGGG
rnacentral:rRNA from 1 species